rnacentral:rRNA from 1 species
UACGUAGGGUGCAAGCGUUAAUCGGAAUUACUGGGCGUAAAGCGCGCGCAGGCGGCCAUUCAAGUCAGGGGUGAAAGCCCAGAGCUCAACUCUGGAACUGCCCUUGAAACUGUAUGGCUUGAGUAUGAGAGAGGUGAGUGGAAUUCCCAGUGUAGAGGUGAAAUUCGUAGAUAUUGGGAAGAACACCGGUGGCGAAGGCGGCUCACUGGCUCAUUACUGACGCUCAGGCGCGACAGCGUGGGGGUCAAACAGG